UAGGGAAUUUUCGUCAAUGGGGGGAACCCUGAACGAGCAAUGCCGCGUGUGUGAAGAAGGUCUUCGGAUCGUAAAGCACUGUUGUAAGUGAAGAAUGCCACAUAGAGGAAAUGCUGUGUGGGUGACGGUAGCUUACCAGAAAGCCACGGCUAACUACGUGCCAGCAGCCGCGGUAAUACGUAGGUGGCAAGCGUUAUCCGGAAUCAUUGGGCGUAAAGGGUGCGUAGGUGGCACGAUAAGUCUGAAGUAAAAGGCAACAGCUCAACUGUUGUAUGCUUUGGAAACUGUCGAGCUAGAGUGCAGAAGAGGGCGAUGGAAUUCCAUGUGUAGCGGUAAAAUGCGUAGAUAUAUGGAGGAACACCAGUGGCGAAGGCGGUCGCCUGGUCUGUAACUGACACUGAUGCACGAAAGCGUGGGGAGCAAAUAGGAUUAGAUACC
rnacentral:rRNA from 1 species